UACGGGGGGGGCAAGCGUUGUUCGGAAUUACUGGGCGUAAAGGGCUCGUAGGCGGCCAACUAAGUCGGAUGUGAAAUCCCCAGGCUUAACCUGGGAACUGCAUCCGAUACUGGAUGGCUUGAAUCCGGGAGAGGGAUGCAGAAUUCCAGGUGUAGCGGUGAAAUGCGUAGAUAUCUGGAGGAAUACCGGUGGCGAAGGCGGCAUCCUGGACCGACAUUGACGCUGAAGCGCGAAAGCUAGGGGAGCAAACGGG
rnacentral:rRNA from 1 species